AGCUCCAAUAGCGUAUAUUAAAGUUGCUGCAGUUAAAAAGCUUGUAGUUGGAUGUGUGGUGUGUCCAGUCGGCCUUUGCUCUGUGAGUGAUAGUGCUUUUACUGGUCUGCCAUGUUUGGGUGGAAUCUGUGUGGCAUUAAGUUGUCAUGCAGGGGAUGCCCAUUGUUUACUGUGAAAAAUUAGAGUGUUCAAAGCAGGCUUAUGCCUCUGAAUAUAUUAGCAUGGAAUAAUGAUAUAGGACCUUGGUACUAUUUUGUUGGUUUGCGCACUGAUGUAAUGAUUAAGAGGGACAGUUGGGGGUAUUUGUAUUCCAUUGUCAGAGGUAAAAUUCUUGGAUUUUUGGAAGACAAACUAAUAUGAAAAUAUUUACCAAGGAUGUUUUCA
rnacentral:rRNA from 1 species